rnacentral:rRNA from 1 species
AGUGAACGCUGGCGGUAGGCCUAACACAUGCAAGUCGAACGGCAGCACAGUAAGAGCUUGCUCUUACGGGUGGCGAGUGGCGGACGGGUGAGGAAUACAUCGGAAUCUACUUUUUCGUGGGGGAUAACGUAGGGAAACUUACGCUAAUACCGCAUACGACCUACGGGUGAAAGCAGGGGAUCUUCGGACCUUGCGCGAUUGAAUGAGCCGAUGUCGGAUUAGCUAGUUGGCGGGGUAAAGGCCCACCAAGGCGACGAUCCGUAGCUGGUCUGAGAGGAUGAUCAGCCACACUGGAACUGAGACACGGUCCAGACUCCUACGGGAGGAAGCAGUGGGGAAUAUUGGACAAUGGGGGAAAGCCUGAUACAGCCAUACCGCGUGGGUGAAGAAGGACUUCGGGUUGUAAAGCCCUUUUGUUGGGAAAGAAAAGCAGCAGGUUAAUACCCCGCUGUUCUGACGGUACCCAAAGAAUAAGCACCGGCUAACUUCGUG